GCACACACCCGCGGCGGGAGGAGGAAGGGCAUCUUUCUCGUCGUUUUCGUUUCGCCAGUUUCAUUUACCCCCCUUCUCCCCCCUUUCUCUCUUUCUUCUUCUUCUUUCUUUUUUUUUUUUUUUUCAAUUAAAUUUUAUUUUAUUUUUAUCACUGUAAUUAUUUGUCGGGGUUCUCCAGUCGGAUCCCGGCGGAAAAGGUGGAUCGCUUCUCGGAGGGUCCCCGCGGCUCCUGGGGAAGGUUGUGGACACUGUGGCUCCAGUUUACUCACAAGAUACCAACCAAACACUAGUAUUUGAAGAUCCACUUGGAUAGGCACAGCUCCUCACCCAGCAUGCCUUUCAAAGCUGGAUUAGAACUGACCGAAUUGCAGAAUAUGACUGUCCCUGAAGAUGAUAACAUCAGCAAUGAUUCAAAUGAUUUCACAGAGGUGGAAAAUGGCCAGAUAAAUAGCAAGUUUAUUUCGGAUCGAGAAAGCAGAAGAAGUCUCACAAACAGCCACCUCGAGAAGAAGAAAUGUGAUGAAUAUAUCCCAGGAACUACUUCACUGGGAAUGUCUGUCUUCAACCUUAGCAAUGCAAUUAUGGGCAGUGGGAUUUUGGGUCUUGCUUUUGCCUUGGCCAACACAGGAAUUCUCCUUUUUCUGCUGCUUUUGGUUUCAGUCACGCUGCUGUCUAUUUAUUCAAUACAUCUCCUGUUGGUGUGUUCAAAGGAAACAGGCUGCAUGGUGUAUGAAAAGCUUGGUGAGCAGAUCUUUGGUACCCCAGGGAAAAUGAUUGUCUUUGGAUCUACAUCUCUUCAGAAUAUUGGAGCAAUGUUGAGCUAUCUCUUCAUAGUCAAAAAUGAGCUGCCUUCUGCCAUAAAGUUCCUAAUGGGAAAAGAAGAAACUUUUUCGGAAUGGUACGUGGAUGGGCGGAUUCUUGUUGUCGCAGUGACGCUUUGUAUAAUCCUCCCUUUAUGUCUCCUGAAGAACUUAGGAUACCUUGGCUAUACCAGUGGAUUUUCAUUAAGCUGCAUGGUAUUUUUCCUGGUAGUGGUUAUUUACAAGAAGUUUCAAAUUCCCUGUGAUGGACAAGGGCUAAAUGCAACAUCAUCUAUCCUAUCAAAUAGCUCAGAACAUACGUGUAAGCCAAAGUAUGUUAUCUUUAAUUCCAAGACCGUGUACGCUUUGCCCACCAUUGCUUUUGCGUUUGUGUGCCACCCAUCAGUCCUCCCGAUUUACAGCGAACUUAAAGACCGUUCACAGAAAAAAAUGCAGUUGGUUUCAAAUAUCUCAUUUUUUGCCAUGUUUCUGAUGUACUUUAUGACUGCCAUAUUUGGCUAUUUGACUUUCUACGAGAAUGUGCAGUCAGAUCUGCUUCACAAAUACCAGAGCAAAGAUGACAUCCUCAUCCUGACUGUGCGCUUGGCUGUGAUCGUGGCAGUGAUUCUCACCGUGCCAGUGCUGUUUUUCACUGUGCGUUCAUCAUUAUUCGAGAUGGCCAGAAAAACAAAAUUUGACUUAUGCCGUCAUAUUGUGGUUACUUUGGUUCUUUUGGUUAUCAUCAACCUGUUAGUCAUUUUUAUCCCAUCCAUGAAGGAUAUUUUUGGAGUUGUAGGGGUCACUUCUGCCAACAUGCUGAUCUUCAUUCUUCCUUCAUCAUUGUAUAUAAAAAUUACACAGCAGGAUGGAUCAAAGUUGACUCAGAGGAUUUGGGCUUAUCUUUUUUUGGCACUGGGGGUAUUGUUUUCCCUGGUGAGCAUUCCCUUGGUCAUCUAUGACUGGGUACAAUCAGGAGGCAGUGCCGAAGGCCACUGAAGUUCACCUUCUUCCCAAAAGAAGAUACCCCUGUUUGCUACACACCAAAAUCGCAACCAUCCGUUCUGUUGUCUAUUCCACCCUUUGUUUAUACAUUCUUAACAGAAUGCAAUAGACCCUGCUGUAACUGUCAACAUCAGUGAUGGAUGACAAUAUUUGUAUGAGGUUAUCUGUAAAAUGUACUGCUGUUAUUCAGUUCAUUUGGAAUAGUGAACCUGUAGCCGCGAUUGUACGAGUCCCACAUUUUAGCUAGGAUUUUAAGAGCACAGUGAAAUACUGUAGGAGUUUCUCUGUUGUAAAAUUAAUAGGAUCCAGAGUACCAUAUCUACUUAGUAGAUGAUAGCAUGCUUUCUUUUCAUAGAGAGUUUAUCACUAUUGUGAGCACUGCAAAUGUCAUAGACUGUAUGCAAAAUUGCUCCUAAUAAUUGCAACAAAAAUCUUUAAAAUUCUUAUUUGUGUAGUAGCAACAAUCGAGUGGUGAGGGACUAGGAAGGACUAAUUAGAAGCAGGGAUUACUAAUAAGAUUGUAAGAGUUAAUCCUACACUUAAAAGACAGCCUUGCUGCCUGUCCUAGUCCACAGCACAUUGCAAAGAAAAUAGUUAUGGGCUUACAGCAGCCAUAAUACAGCUGCCCUUCUCUGUCCAAUGGCAAACAUGCCUAGGUAGUAAAACACAGUAAAUUGUUAUUUGGGAACAGUGUCUCGGGGCAGUGACCUCUCUGGGUGAUGCGUGCUCCUGGUUAGAGGGCCAGUGCCAAAUCUGUGCACCAGCACAGACCUUCUGUAGAGCUGGCACAGACCAAGGGGUGCCUGGCACAUGUGCAAGCCUAGGGCACAAGAGCUGGUGUCAUCCUGCGAGGUCAGGGAUGAGAAUGCUCAUCCACCCUGAGGGCUGCUCUUCUGAGCCACAUAUGAACCCCAAGCCUGUGCUCCACCUGAAUAGGUCACACAUGCAAGUGUGGGUUGGAAGGUGUGUGGGUUUUGUCUGUACAUCUGCCUUACAAUGCAUAAGCGCAACACAGCUCUCUGAUAUGGAGUAUUAAACAGUAACAAUUAAUGGUAUGUCUAGUUUAUCUAUAAAUUUAUACAUUUCUUUGCUUGAACCUUACAUUAAGGCUAAAGAGCACCUUGGUCAAAACAAAACUUUCAUGUGGUGGUGUCCCACCUCCAGUCCUACUGCCCCACCCCAGUGCCUGUAGGAGAAAGGCACCACAGAAUGUACUCAGCUCCAUCAGCAGCUCCAUGAGAUGGCUUUAUCAGCUGGCGCCACGGUGCUUUCAUAAACAAAUCCCCAGAGCCCUUGGCGUCAGAAAAUCCUUAUUUCCUGUAACGUACAGCAAAGAAUGUUUUAUUUGUAUCUAAUGUAAGGAUUUCUGUAAUGAACUGUGAAAAACAAAAAAAAAGAAAAUGAAUUAAUAAAAGGUACUGGGCUGGAAAGUCUAGAAUUCACAAAUUGUACACAUACCUAUGUUUCUGAAGACAAAUCUAUGCAGUUGUGUUGUAGGAAAUUUCAUUUUUAUGUACAUAUAUAUUGUAAAUAAAUAGGAUGCUGUAUAUUUUUGCAGUUGGUUAUCCCCUAUGAAUGGAAGUGUUAAGAUAGGCUCUGCAUAUUAAGAAUAAUUUUAAUAGAAAUACAAAUACUUUAGCUUCUUAGCAAAAUGUAUAUCCUUUUCUUUCUCCCAAGAGUUCACAAGUUAAAUUCUAAACUUGAAAUUAUAAUUACAUCCCUAAAGUAAAAAGAGAAAUAAAAGGUCCAGUUAAAUUGCUAGGAUUAAUUCCAGUGCAUGACUCCCUGUUUUCUCAACAGCAAGUCUACCAGUCUUCCUGUUGGGUAAAAUAUCUCCCUUGUUAAAGGGCCCCUUUGGUACCCAGAUCCCUCUUACCUUCUCAGCUGGGGUCAGUUGGGAGUAAGGUGCUGAGAAGGGUUUAUGGAAGAAACCAUGGCAAACUGCAGCCAGCAGUUUGACCUAGCAUUAUGCUGUGUUGUAUCCAGGCGUGUAUUUACCCAACUAGUACAAACAGAAGUCAGGGCAGAGCUUCUGCAUUUCCAUUUUCAGCCACCAGAAAUGCCAGUAGUUCAGAAAAAAAAGUAUGGCAAGCCAGGGUUCAGCAGCAACCAGAGCAACUGGUGCCAUUUCCAGCCCCCUCCCUUCCUGCAGAGUCCCGUGGCUGGUCUGCCUCACACUCUGCUGCUCUCAUGCAACCAAAAUGCUGGCACCUGAGGCUGCCAAGAGCUUCCCUGGCCAGGGACUGCUUGCACAUCCCACUCUGUGAACAGGCAGAGGUCAUUGGAUAGCUGUGUCCAGGGGUGAGGGCUGGGUAUCUCCUGAGAGUGCAUCCAUCAGAGGCCUUGCAUAGACUUUCUUACUGGUAAAGCAUGGAAAUGUUUUUUCGGGACUGCUGAAAAAUGGAGGUUAAGAAAUGCAUCUAAAAAGAAUUGUGGGUUUUUUCCAUGUUUACUUUAUGGGCUUGGAUGAAAAUGAAACUUGAAAUAACAUUUGCUUUUAUCAUGAGCACAAAUUUGAGGGGAAAACCCUAUAUACAGUCAGUUCUACAGAACUUUUCAAAUUAAUACCAGUGUAUGUUUUGUUUUCAGUGUUAUAGCCAACAAAAUAUAAACUGAAAAGGUAUUUUUCCACUAGACUUGAACUUUUCAUUGUUUAUAGAAACCUGGUUUUAGUGUCCCAACAUAUGCUAAGGCUCACACAGAUCCAGUAUAAACAAUGUUGUUUGAAUGAUGUAUGCUUCAUACAAGCUCAUGUCUAAUAGAUUGUUGAAGUGAGUCAUCGGUAAUAUUUUGCUCUUUUUAGCACCUGUUAACUUUGUGCUGCUCAUAUCCAAAUAAAAGACACAGUUUUUCAGUUUCUAUGUGUAAAUAAAAUGUAUCAAGUUCUAUGA